rnacentral:lncRNA from 1 species
GAUAUUCAACAGGUCCCCAAAGUGAAAAAUGCCAGGGCAGAUCCACUGUCAAAAUUAACAGCCUUAUUGCCUGCUGACUUAGAAAAAGGGACCUACUUUAGUGUAUUAAAAAUCUCGAGCCUAAAAGAGUCUCUUGUUGUCUAGCAAGUUGAUAAGGAACCCAGCUGGAUUGAUCCUCUGCUCCAGUAUUUAAGGUCGGAUGAGUUACUGCCUGAUUGCAAGGAGGCUCGGA